rnacentral:rRNA from 1 species
UACGAACGCUGGCGGCAGGCUUAACACAUGCAAGUCGAGCGCCCCGCAAGGGGAGCGGCAGACGGGUGAGUAACGCGUGGGAAUCUACCCAUCUCUACGGAAUAACGCAUGGAAACGUGUGCUAAUACCGUAUACGUCCUUCGGGAGAAAGAUUUAUCGGAGCUGGAAGAGCCCGCGUUGGAUUAGCUAGUUGGUGGGGUAAAGGCCUACCAAGGCGACGAUCCAUAGCUGGUCUGAGAGGAUGAUCAGCCACACUGGGACUGAGACGCGGCCCAGACUCCGAAGGGAGGAAGCAGUGGGGAAUAUUGGACAAUGGGCGCAAGCCUGAUCCAGCCAUGCCGCGUGAGUGAUGAAGGCCCUAGGGUUGUAAAGCUCUUUCACCGGUGAAGAUAAUGACGGUAACCGGAGAAGAAGCCCCGGCUAACUUCGUGCCAGCCGCCGCGGUAAGAC